GACGAACGCUGGCGGCGUGCUUAACACAUGCAAGUCGAACGGGUCUGCCCUGUUUUUUGCGGGGUGGGUCAGUGGCGAACGGGUGAGUAACACGUGAGUAACCUGCCCCUCACUUCUGGAUAACCGCUUGAAAGGGUGGCUAAUACGGGGUGUUCUGGCUGUGCCGCAUGGUGUGGCUGGGAAAGAUUCACUUUUGUGGUGUUUUGGUGGGGGAUGGGCUCGCGGCCUAUCAGCUUGUUGGGGGGGUGAUGGCCUGCCAAGGCUUUGACGGGUAGCCGGCCUGAGGGGGUGGGCGGUCCCCCUGGGACUGAGCUACGGCCCAGACUCCUGCGGGAGGCAGCAGUGGGGGGUAUUGCACAAUGGGCGGAAGCCUGAUGCAGCGACGUCGCGUGAGGGAUGGAGGCUUCGGGUUGUGAACCUCUUUCGCCGGUGAAGAAGGUCCUGCUCUUUGUGGUGGGGUUGACGGUAGCCGGGUUAUGAAGCGCCGGCUAACUACGUG
rnacentral:rRNA from 1 species